AUGGCGGUUUCCACACGCAUGGCACUCUUGAUCGCAGUUUGCUUCCUCGGUUGCUACGUGUUCGUCCCGUCCUUGGCUGCCUCCGGCGACUUCCUCCAGUGCCUCUCGUCCAGCAUCCCCAGCGAGCGCGUGUUCACGCCGGAUUCGCCGUCGUUCACUUCCGUCCUGGUGUCGUCCAUCCGGAACCCCAAGUUCUUCACCCCGACGACGGUGAGGCCGCUCUGCAUCGUGACGCCCACCAACGCGUCCCACGUCCAGGCCGCGGUGCUCUGCGGCCGCCGCCACGACGUGCGCGUCCGCGUGCGCAGCGGCGGGCACGACUACGAGGGGCUCUCGUACCGGUCCGAGCGCCCCGAGGUGUUCGCGGUGGUCGACCUCGCCAACCUCCGCUCCGUGCGCGUCGACCGGGGCGCGGCCACCGCGUGGGUGGACUCGGGCGCGACGGUCGGGGAGCUGUACUACGCCGUCGCCAAGGCGGCGCCCGGACUCGCGUUCCCGGCCGGCGUGUGCUCGACCAUGGGCUUGGGCGGCCACAUCAGCGGCGGCGGCAUGGGUAUGAUGAUGCGCAAGUACGGCCUCUCCGUCGACAACGUCCUCGACGCCACGCUGGUCGACGCCAACGGGAGGCUGCUGGACAAGGAGGCCAUGGGGAGCGACCUCUUCUGGGCCAUCCGCGGCGGCGGCGGCGGGAACUUCGGCGUCGUGCUGUCGUGGAAGAUCAGGCUUGUACCGGUCCCACCGACAGUGACGUUCUCCAACAUCCAGAAGACCGUUGACCAGGGCGCGGCCAGCGCCGUGACCAAAUGGCAGACGCUCGCGCCGGCCCUCCCCGAGGACCUCAGCAUACGGGUGAUCGUGCAGAACCAGCAUGCCCUCUUCCAGACCCUGUAUCUCGGCGGCUGCAGCGCGCUGGUGCGCGCGAUGAGCAGCCAAUUCCCGGAGCUCGGCAUGACGCGCGCCGACUGCCGGGAGAUGAGCUGGCUGCAGUCCACGGUCUACAUCAACUCCGGCGACACCAAGACGCCGGUGGAGACGCUCCUGAACCGAACGACCAGCCUGAGCACGUUCACCAAGAACAAGUCCGACUACGUCAAGCAAGCGAUCACAAAGGAGACGUGGGAAAAGAUCUUCCCCUGGUUCAACAGCUCCGCCGCGGGACUCAUGAUCCUGGAGCCUCACGGCCGAAGGGUCGGCAGCAUCGCCGAUGAGGACACGCCAUACCCUCACCGGAGCAGCGUCCUCUACAACAUCCAGUACGUCGCGUUCUGGACGGGCAACGGCACGGACGGGCCGAACUGGAUCGGUGGUCUGUACAACUUCAUGGAGCCGUUCGUUAGCAAGAACCCGAGGGGUGCGUACGUGAACUACCGGGACCUGGACAUCGGGGAGAACACGGUGGUCGGCGGUGUCACGACCUACGAAAGCGGCAAGGUGUGGGGUGAGAGUUACUUCGGGGGCAACUUCGAGAGGCUCGCCAUCACGAAGGGGAAGGUGGACGCCGGCGACUACUUCAGAAACGAGCAGAGCGUACCCCCACUUCUCUCGAGGAAGUGA
rnacentral:rRNA from 1 species